UGGGGAAUAUUGCACAAUGGGGGAAACCCUGAUGCAGCGACGCCGCGUGGAGGAAGAAGGUCUUCGGAUUGUAAACUCCUGUUGUUGAGGAAGAUAAUGACGGUACUCAACAAGGAAGUGACGGCUAGCUACGUGCCAGCAGCCGCGGUAAAACGUAGGUCACAAGCGUUGUCCGGAAUUACUGGGUGUAAAGGGAGCGCAGGCGGGAAGACAAGUUGGAAGUGAAAUCCAUGGGCUCAACCCAUUAACUGCUUUCAAAACUGUUUUGCUUGAGUAGUGCAGAGGUAGGCGGAAUUCCCGGUGUAGCGGUGGAAUGCGUAGAUAUCGGGAGGAACACCAGUGGCGAAGGCGGCCUACUGGGCACCAACUGACGCUGAGGCUCGAAAGUGUGGGUAGCAAACA
rnacentral:rRNA from 1 species